UGGGGAAUAUUGCACAAUGGGCGCAAGCCUGAUGCAGCCAUGCCGCGUGAGUGAAGAAGGCCCUAGGGUUGUAAAACUCUUUCACCGGUGAAGAUAGUGACGGUAGCCGGAGAAGAAGCCCCGGCCAACUCCGUGCCAGCAGCCGCGGUAAUACGGAGGGGGCUAGCGUUGUUCGGAAUUACUGGGCGUAAAGCGCGCGUAGGCGGGCCGGUCAGUUGGGGGUGAAAUCCCGAGGCUUAACCUCGGAACUGCCCUCAAAACUACCAGCCUUGAGUCCGGGAGAGGUGAGUGGAAUUCCUAGUGUAGAGGUGAAAUUCGUAGAUAUUAGGAAGAACACCAGUGGCGAAGGCGGCUCACUGGCCCGGUACUGACGCUGAGGCGCGAAAGCGUGGGGAGCAAACAGGAUUAGAUACCCCUGUAGUCC
rnacentral:rRNA from 1 species